rnacentral:lncRNA from 1 species
AGAUCAGGAUCGCAGGGAAGAAAUUUUAGAGCACAAUGAUGAGGUAUUGAGACUUAGACAACAAUUGCUAGAUCUGCACUGAGCAUGGGCUAGUGGCAUGCCUCCUCCUCCACUCCCUAAAGAUCUUGGGAAUAUCCCCAAUUGCCCACCGCUCUUUCAGGCGCAAUUCUCUGUUCCUAUUGAGUCAUCAGAGAACGCACCAGGAUUCACUCCACGGC